UACGGAGGGUGCGAGCGUUGUUCGGAAUCACUGGGCGUAAAGCGCAUGUAGGCGGUUCGUUAAGUCUGGUGUGAAAGCCCGGGGCUCACCCCCGGAAGUGCACUGGAUACUGACAAACUCGAGUCCCGGAGAGGAGAGUGGAAUUCCUGGUGUAGCGGUGAAAUGCGUAGAUAUCAGGAGGAACACCGGUGGCGAAGGCGGCUCUCUGGACGGUGACUGACGCUGAGAUGCGAAAGCGUGGGGAGCAAACAGG
rnacentral:rRNA from 1 species